AAAUAAACAUUAAAAAAAAUUUUUUUUUAAAUAUCAUUUGAGAAUCUUUAAUAGAGAGUUGAAAUUGUAGAUUGGCAGCAUGCAAGUCUGAUUUGGCCUGAAAACGUGUUUAUUUUCGUUUGUCCAAAGCAAGUGCUGCUUUGUUUUUUGUUUUGUUUUUAAUUAAUGUAAAAGUUGCCAUUUUGAAGUGUACUAUUCAGUGGUUUUUAGUAUAUUCACAAUGUUGUGCAACCAUAACUACCAUCUAAUUAUAGAACAUUUCCAUCAUCCCAUAAAGAAACCCUGUAACCUUAAUUAAGCAGUCACUUGCCAUUUUUUAUCUUCCCCUAACCCCUAGAAGCCACUAAUCUACUUUCUGUCUCUGUGGAUUUGCCUGGUUUGAACAUUUCAUAUAAAUGGAAUCAUACGACGUAGGGCCUUUUGUGUCUGACUUCUUUUGCAUGGCAAAACUGCUGCUUCUUUCACUUUCAAGGUCUACCCUUGUUGUAGCAUGUAUCAGCACUUAAUUCUUUAUUAUGAAUAAUAUUUCCUUGUAUAGAUAUACCACAUUUGUUAAUUUAUUAGUUGAUGGACAUUUGACUUGUUUCCACUUUUUGGCUAUUAGAAUAAUGCUACUAUGAACAUCCAUGUACAGAUUUUUGUGGAAACAUGUUUUCAUGUGUGUCCUUUUUUCAUUUUUUAAUUUGAAUUAGCUGUGAACAUUUAAAAUUGGAAAUUAGAAGAUUUGGUAACUAUGGAGCAUUAUUUUUGCCUAUCAACAAUGGACUGUACCUGAAUAAUGGUUGACCCUCCUUAGAAUUCUCAUUCUCUGCUUUACCUUAGUUCUCUCUUCCAUCCCCUAAGCUUGGGCUUAGUCUCAGCAGCUUAGCCGAGUACUUAUAUUUUUUCUUUCUUAUGAUAUAGUUAAAGUGAAAAAAUAUUAUAUUCAUGUGUCUAUAAAAUAAUGAAAAACACAAAAGAAGAGAAAGGAAAAUGGGAGAAUCUCCUUGUUUGCAACAAUGAAGAAAAUUCCUACAGUUAUAAUAGGUAAAGUAAGCUACAGAUGAUUGUCUUGUAGCCAUUACUAACAUGGUAUCUGAUAUAAAGCUUAAAUUCAACAUGGCAAAAUAAUAUAACUUAGUGUAGUGUAUUAGUCUGCCCCGUCUGCCAUAACAGAAUAUAAGACUUGGUGGCUUAAACAGCAGACAUUUAUUUUCUCACAGUUUGGGAGGCUAGAAGUCCCUGAUUGAGGUGCCACCUGACUCAGUUUCUGGUGAGGGCUUCCUUCCUGGCUUAUAAAUGGCUGCCUUCUUUCUGUGCCCUCGCAUGGCCUCUUCUAUUUUGUAUGUGUGUUGAGAGUGAUCUGGUGUUUCCCUUUUCUUACAAGGGCACCAGCCCUCUUGGAUUAGGGCUCCACCUUUUUGAUAUCAUUUAACAAUAAUUACCUCACUGAGGGCCCUGUCUCCCAAUACAGCCACAUUUGGGGAUUGGGGCUUUAUCAUAUGAAUUUAGGGAGGGACAUAAUUCACUCCAUACAUGUAGUAUUGUAUUGUGAAACCGUCCACAGUAAUAUGAUGGGUAAUGGAAAAGACACCUGGUCGAGAAAUUGGGAAAGACGGAGAGAGCUGAAAUUUUAAGAUGUGUUUCUUCAUGCUAUUAUGAGCAGUUAUAUAUGGAGAUUUUUUCUUUUCCUUUAAUUCCAGUGCAGUUACCAUAGAGCGUUAAUAUUAGUUUCAGGUGUAUACAAUGUAAUGAUUCAGCAAUUCCAUCUGAAUUGGUUGAUGAGCAUUUAUAUAUUUUUAAGAAAAAAUACUACAUGUGUACCAAAACCUUUUUUUUAAUGUUGAGUUUGGAUCCAGCAAAAAAUGUGUCCAACUAGACUAUUUGCAUACAUAAGUACAGUUGCAAAUACUCUUAACUCAUAGUGAAUAUACUACUAGGAACAAACGGACAAGAAGUUAAGUCAUUUGUUAAAUUUUGUAUCAUAGCUGAUGAAAGCACAGAUAUUAAUAUUAUGCAAAUAUACAUAUAAUACAAAUAUUAGUGAUUUAUUUGUAGCAUCUAUGAGCCUUUUUAAAUGACAAGAGUUUAUUUGAAUAUGGUUCCUUAGUGAGUCCAAAUUUAGGAGAUGGCUUUUUUGUACAUUGAGAGAAAAGUUUUAUUUAUUAAUUUUUUUUUUUUUUUUUUAGUUUUAAAUCUAAAUGUAGGGGCACCUGGCUGGCUUGCCUGGAGGGGCAUGUGACUCUUGAUCUCUUAACCCCAUGUUACUUGUAAAGAUUACUUAAAAAUAAAAUCUGGGGUGCCUGGGUGGCUCAUUCAGUUAAGUGUCCAACUCUUGAUUUCGACUCACCUCAUGAGCUUACCGUUGAUGGGUUCCAGCCCUGCAUUGGUGGAGCUCUUCAGAGCUCUUCAGGUGGAGCCUGCUUGGGAUUCUUUCUCUCUCCUUUUCUCUCAGCCCUGCUCCUGCCUGCUCUCGCUCUGUCUCUCACUCUCUCUCAAAAUAAGUAAACUUAAAAAAAAAAAAAAAUAGGUGUGCCUGAGUAGCUCAGUCAGUUAAGCAUCUGACUCAGUCCCUGCUCAGGUCUUGAUCUCUGGGUCAUGAAUUCAAGCCCCGUAUUGGAGCUUCAGCAUGGAGCCUACUGAAAGAAAGAAAGAAAGAAAGAAAGAAA